CAGCAGCCGCGGGAAUACGUAGGGUGCGAGCGUUAAUCGGAAUUACUGGGCGUAAAGCGUGCGCAGGCGGUUGUGUAAGACAGGUGUGAAAUCCCCGGGCUUAACCUGGGAACUGCGCUUGUGACUGCACAGCUAGAGUAUGGCAGAGGGGGGUGGAAUUCCACGUGUAGCAGUGAAAUGCGUAGAGAUGUGGAGGAACACCGAUGGCGAAGGCAGCCCCCUGGGCCAAUACUGACGCUCAUGCACGAGAGCGUGGGGAGCAAACAGGAUUAGAUACCCCCGUAGUCCCUGUCUCUUAUAU
rnacentral:rRNA from 1 species